UACGUAGGGUGCGAGCGUUGUCCGGAAUCAUUGGGCGUAAAGCGCGUGUAGGCGGCCCGAUAAGUCCGCUGUGAAAGUCCAGGGCUCAACCCUGGAAUGCCGGUGGAUACUGUCGGGCUCGAGUCCGGAAGAGGCGAGUGGAAUUCCUGGUGUAGCGGUGAAAUGCGCAGAUAUCAGGAGGAACACCGAUGGCGAAGGCAGCUCGCUGGGACGGUACUGACGCUGAGACGCGAAAGCGUGGGGAGCAAACAGG
rnacentral:rRNA from 1 species